UUAAGCGACUAAGCGUACACGGUGGAUGCCCUGGCAGUCAGAGGCGAUGAAGGACGUGCUAAUCUGCGAAAAGCGUCGGUAAGGUGAUAUGAACCGUUAUAACCGGCGAUGUCCGAAUGGGGAAACCCAGUGCAAUUCGUUGCACUAUCGUUAACUGAAUACAUAGGUUAACGAGGCGAACCGGGGGAACUGAAACAUCUAAGUACCCCGAGGAAAAGAAAUCAACCGAGAUUCCCCCAGUAGCGGCGAGCGAACGGGGAGCAGCCCAGAGUCUGAAUCAGCUUGUGUGUUAGUGGAACGGUCUGGAAAGUCCGACGGUACAGGGUGAUAGUCCCGUACACCAAAAUGCACAGGCUGUGAACUCGAAGAGUAGGGCGGGACACGUGGUAUCCUGUCUGAAUAUGGGGGGACCAUCCUCCAAGGCUAAAUACUCCUGACUGACCGAUAGUGAACCAGUACCGUGAGGGAAAGGCGAAAAGAACCCCGGCGAGGGGAGUGAAAAAGAACCUGAAACCGUGUACGUACAAGCAGUGGGAGCACCUUCGGGUGUGACUGCGUACCUUUUGUAUAAUGGGUCAGCGACUUAUAUUCUGUAGCAAGGUUAACCGUAUAGGGGAGCCGCAGGGAAACCGAGUCUUAACUGGGCGUUAAGUUGCAGGGUAUAGACCCGAAACCCGGUGAUCUAGCCAUGGGCAGGUUGAAGGUUGGGUAACACUAACUGGAGGACCGAACCGACUAAUGUUGAAAAAUUAGCGGAUGACUUGUGGCUGGGGGUGAAAGGCCAAUCAAACCGGGAGAUAGCUGGUUCUCCCCGAAAGCUAUUUAGGUAGCGCCUCGUGAAUUCAUCUUCGGGGGUAGAGCACUGUUUCGGCUAGGGGGUCAUCCCGACUUACCAACCCGAUGCAAACUACGAAUACCGAAGAAUGUUAUCACGGGAGACACACGGCGGGUGCUAACGUCCGUCGUGAAGAGGGAAACAACCCAGACCGCCAGCUAAGGUCCCAAAGUCAUGGUUAAGUGGGAAACGAUGUGGGAAGGCACAGACAGCCAGGAUGUUGGCUUAGAAGCAGCCAUCAUUUAAAGAAAGCGUAAUAGCUCACUGGUCGAGUCGGCCUGCGCGGAAGAUGUAACGGGGCUAAACCAUGCACCGAAGCUGCGGCAGCGACACUAUGUGUUGUUGGGUAGGGGAGCGUUCUGUAAGCCUGCGAAGGUGUGCUGUGAGGCAUGCUGGAGGUAUCAGAAGUGCGAAUGCUGACAUAAGUAACGAUAAAGCGGGUGAAAAGCCCGCUCGCCGGAAGACCAAGGGUUCCUGUCCAACGUUAAUCGGGGCAGGGUGAGUCGACCCCUAAGGCGAGGCCGAAAGGCGUAGUCGAUGGGAAACAGGUUAAUAUUCCUGUACUUGGUGUUACUGCGAAGGGGGGACGGAGAAGGCUAUGUUAGCCGGGCGACGGUUGUCCCGGUUUAAGCAUGUAGGCUGGUUGUCCAGGCAAAUCCGGAUAAUCAAGGCUGAGGUGUGAUGACGAGGUACUACGGUGCUGAAGUAACAAAUGCCCUGCUUCCAGGAAAAGCCUCUAAGCAUCAGGUAACAUCAAAUCGUACCCCAAACCGACACAGGUGGUCAGGUAGAGAAUACCAAGGCGCUUGAGAGAACUCGGGUGAAGGAACUAGGCAAAAUGGUGCCGUAACUUCGGGAGAAGGCACGCUGGUGUGUAGGUGAAGUCCCUGCGGAUGGAGCUGAGACCAGUCGAAGAUACCAGCUGGCUGCAACUGUUUAUUAAAAACACAGCACUGUGCAAACACGAAAGUGGACGUAUACGGUGUGACGCCUGCCCGGUGCCGGAAGGUUAAUUGAUGGGGUUAUCCGUAAGGAGAAGCUCUUGAUCGAAGCCCCGGUAAACGGCGGCCGUAACUAUAACGGUCCUAAGGUAGCGAAAUUCCUUGUCGGGUAAGUUCCGACCUGCACGAAUGGCGUAAUGAUGGCCAGGCUGUCUCCACCCGAGACUCAGUGAAAUUGAACUCGCUGUGAAGAUGCAGUGUACCCGCGGCAAGACGGAAAGACCCCGUGAACCUUUACUAUAGCUUGACACUGAACAUUGAGCCUUGAUGUGUAGGAUAGGUGGGAGGCUUUGAAGCGUGGACGCCAGUCUGCGUGGAGCCAACCUUGAAAUACCACCCUUUAAUGUUUGAUGUUCUAACGUUGGCCCCUGACCGGGGUUGCGGACAGUGUCUGGUGGGUAGUUUGACUGGGGCGGUCUCCUCCCAAAGCGUAACGGAGGAGCACGAAGGUUAGCUAAUCCUGGUCGGACAUCAGGAGGUUAGUGCAAUGGCAUAAGCUAGCUUGACUGCGAGCGUGACGGCGCGAGCAGGUGCGAAAGCAGGUCAUAGUGAUCCGGUGGUUCUGAAUGGAAGGGCCAUCGCUCAACGGAUAAAAGGUACUCCGGGGAUAACAGGCUGAUACCGCCCAAGAGUUCAUAUCGACGGCGGUGUUUGGCACCUCGAUGUCGGCUCAUCACAUCCUGGGGCUGAAGUAGGUCCCAAGGGUAUGGCUGUUCGCCAUUUAAAGUGGUACGCGAGCUGGGUUUAGAACGUCGUGAGACAGUUCGGUCCCUAUCUGCCGUGGGCGCUGGAGAAUUGAGGGGGGCUGCUCCUAGUACGAGAGGACCGGAGUGGACGCAUCACUGGUGUUCGGGUUGUCAUGCCAAUGGCACUGCCCGGUAGCUAAAUGCGGAAGAGAUAAGUGCUGAAAGCAUCUAAGCACGAAACUUGCCCCGAGAUGAGUUCUCCCUGAGACUUUAAGUCUCCUGAAGGAACGUUGAAGACGACGACGUUGAUAGGCCGGGUGUGUAAGCGCAGCGAUGCGUUGAGCUAACCGGUACUAAUGAACCGUGAGGCUUAACCUU
rnacentral:rRNA from 1 species